CUCAAAGGAAUUGACGGGGGCCCGCACAAGCGGUGGAGUAUGUGGUUUAAUUCGAUGCAACGCGAAGAACCUUACCUGGUCUUGACAUCCCGGGAAUUUUCUGGAAACAGAAAAGUGCUUCUUUAUAGAAGAGCCUGGAGACAGGUGCUGCAUGGCUGUCGUCAGCUCGUGUCGUGAGAUGUUGGGUUAAGUCCCGUAACGAGCGCAACCCACGCCUUUAGUUGCCAUCAUUCAGUUGGGCACUCUAGAGGGACAGCCCCGGUUAACGGGGAGGAAGGUGUGGAUGACGUCAAGUCCUCAUGGCCCUUAUGGCCAGGGCUACACACGUACUACAAUGGGCGGUACAAAGGGCAGCUACAUCGCGAGGUGGAGCCAAUCCCCCAAAACCGUUCUCAGUCCGGAUCGGAGUCUGCAACUCGACUCCGUUAAGUUGGAAUCGCUAGUAAUCGUGGAUCAGCAAGCCACGGUGAAUACGUUCCCGGGCCUUGUACACACCGCCCGUCUC
rnacentral:rRNA from 1 species